CAAAAACAAGUCCCUGCAAAAAUCUUGUUCUCUCUCCCUGGCUAUCCAGAGAAGCAGCUGGAGAGAACAAGAAAGGGAGACCAAAUUCCUGUCUGCUCUCCUCACCGCCUGAAAGGACCCCACAUGAAAGUUGGGAAAUCUAGUGCUGGUGUUUGCCAAGCAACAAUCUCUUGACCCCUGUCUCGCUCCCCCCAUACCCAAUAAAAUGCACAAUGUGUUUCCCCUAGCAGUGAAGCAGUCGUCUCUGCAGCUGGCACUAAUUUCCUUCUUGGUUCACAUAAUGUUCUCUCUGCUUUGCAGAGGAUACUGGGAGACAGCAGGGUAAAGGCUGUGGUGUGUGGAGGGGGGUAAGAGGAAUGGGCAGGGGGACCACUGUCCCUCUCUUUGGGGGUUUAGGAGUGAUGUUAUUUCACUACACUCAGCAUCCCUCCAACUCAUGCCCGCCUGCCCUCUCAAUCAUGUCCCUCCCACACACAUACACACUCUUGUAGGGUGUAGAAGUUCUGAUGCUGGGAUAACAGUGUUAUGCAUGAAAUAAAGAUGACGGAUUAGAGAGAGACAAAUGAAAAAGUGUGGUAGAAUACAGGGAGGAAGGAGGAUACUGUGAGAUAUGCCAGUCAGUGACAGCUGCAGAGAAAGUGCUGAGCCGGCUUUUGGGCCUGAGGGCUAUUCCCCUCGUUGCACUCUGCAGUUUUUCUUACAAUCUUUCUCUCUAAGAAUAAUUUUUUCUUGUUUCAAUUGCUUUCUUUUCUUCUCCCUCUUCUCUCUGUCUUCCCAUUGACCUUUCUUCCACACCUUUUUUUUAUCAUUGCUUUUUAUUAUCCGUUUCCUACUAGCCUAAGCUGAUAACAGCACAUUCACAGUUUACCAAUCUCGGCUGUAAAUGGCCGUCAGGUAUUUAAUGGUGUUCCAGUUGUUGUUUUUUUUGUUCUCAAAUAUACACCGAUCAGCCAUAACAUUAUGACCACUGACAGGUGAGGUGAAUAACACUGAUAAUCUCGUUAUCAUGGCACCUACCAGUGGGUGGGAUAUAUUAGGCAGCAAGUUAACUUUCUGUCCUCUAUGUUGAUGUGUUUGAAGCAGGAAAAAUGGGCAAGCAUAAGGAUCUGAGCCACUUUGACAAGGGCCAAAUUGCGAGGGCUAGAUUACUGGGUCAAAGCAACUCCAAAACUGCAGCCCUUGUGGGGCGUUCUCAGUCUGCAGUAGUCAGUACCUGUCAAAAGUGGUCCAUGGAAGGAAAAGCAGUGAACCAGUGACAGGGUCAUGGGCGGCCAAUGCUCACUGAUGCAUGUGGGGAGUGAAGGCUGGCCUGUGUUGUCCGAUCCAACAGAAGAGCUACUUUAGCUCAAAUUGUUGAAAAAGUUAAUGCUGGUACUGAAAGGAAGGUAUCAGAACACAGUGCAUCGAAGUUUGUUGCGUAUGGGGCUGCGUAGCCACAGACCAUUCAGGAUGCCCAUGCUUCAGAACUUGACCACGGAGCAAUGGAAGGAGGCCAGGUCUGAUGAAUCUCGUUUUCUUUUACAUCACAUGGAUGGCUGAGUGCGUGUGUGUCACUUAGCUGGAGAACAACAUGGCACCAGGAUGCACUAUGGGAAGAAGGCAAGCCGAUGGAGGCAGUGUGAUGCUUUCGCCAAUGUUCUGCUGGGAAACCUUGGGUCCUGCCCUUCAUGUGGAUGUUACUUUGACACACCACCUACCUGAGCAUUGUUGCAGACCAUGUACACCCUUUCAUGGCAAUUAUUCCCUGAUGGCAUUGGCCUCUUACAGCAGGAUCAUGCGCCCUGCCACAAAGCAAAAAUGGUUCAGGAAUGGUUUGAGGAACACAACAACGAGUUCAAGUUGUUGACUUGGCCUCCAAAUUCCCCAGAUCUCGAGAAGAAUUAAAGGUGAAGCUAUCAGGAACCCAUUAUCCUCCAGUGCCGCCAUAUUUCAGAACUGCAACCUACUUGGAUUGUUCGGAAGUACAAGGUGUCAAGUGACCAGAGACAUGGCCAAAUUAAGAAGGCUGAAAGUAGACCACCAUUGAAUAAGAUUCACACAUUGAAGCUUAUAGAUUUUGCAAAGAAAUAUAGAUUUUUAAAAGAUUUUAUGGACAGAUGAAAUGAGUGACUCUUGAUGGACCAGAUGGAUGGGCCUGUAGCUGGAUCACUAAUGAACACAGGGCACCAUUUCGAGUCAGUCUCCAGCAAGGUGGAGAAGGGGUACUGGUAUGGGCUGCUAUCAUUAAGGAUGGGGUAGUUGGACCUUUUUGGGUUGAAGAUGGACUGAAACUCAACUCCCAUACCUACUGCCAGUUUCUGGAAGAUAAUUUCUUCAAGCAGUGGUACAGGAAGAAGUCCUCAGCAUUCAAGAAGGCCAUGUUCUUUAUGUAGGACAAUGCUCCAUCACAUGCAUCCAAGUAUUCCACUGCUUGGCUAGCAAGCAAGGGCCUCAAAGAUGCCAGAAUAAUGACCUGGCCCCCCUCCUUACCUGACUUAAAUCCUAUAUAGAACUUGUGGACGCUUCUCAAACAUGAGAUUUACUGUCAGGAAAGAGAAUACACCUCUUUGAACAGCAUUUGGGAGGCUGUGGGUGCUGCUUUAGCAAAAGUUGAUUGUGAACAGAUCAAGAAACUGACAAACUUCAUGGAUGGACGGCUCAUGGCAGUUAUUGAAAAGAAGGGUGGCUAUAUCGGUCACUGAAUAUAUUUGAAAGGCCAGAAAUGUUAUUUAAUUUUAAUUUUGUGUUACUUAUUUGUUGCAAUUUGCAAUUUGAAAUAAACAAGUGAGUUGGAGAAAUAUGCUUUGUAAUUCAGUUAGUAAUUCUGCAUACUUCCCCUGAGAAAGAUCAAAACUCACUUUUCCUUUGUUAAACAUUCAGGUUUGAGGUAAAAUUAUAUUUUGGAUUGACUGAGAGCAUUGUGUUUGUCCAACAAUGAAAUUAAUCUUGAGGAAUACAAUUUGCCUAAUAAUUGUGCACACAGUGUAUGCCCUAAUGUUGUCACUUGAGAAGUAUCCAUGCACAAACCACUAAAACUACCCCAAAAUGUAUAAUGAUAAAAUGCUGACUCCUAUCUAAAACAUUUUAUUCUCCAGAAAUUAGCUCAUUAAAAUAUUGGCCCGUAUUGCCUGGCCAAAAAUUGUGCUUUUUAGUGAACAUUUUAACCUAUAGCAUGAUUGAUGCAGCAUAAAACAAAAGUUGUUUUCUGUUCACACACUGGAUAUAUAAAUCCGUUUUUAUUUCUAUUUGAUUGAGUUUAAAAUUAAAGGUAAUUUAACAAAAUAAUUCAGGGAACACUUAAAUCACACAUUGGGACAAAAGAUCAAUCUGUACUGUACAUUGUGUAAUUCAUUGAGAACAAAAUGACAUAACAGUCAGUGGAAUCCAAAAUCACAAACUGAUUGAGGGCUGGAUUCAACCCUCACAGCGGAAAUCAAAGUAAACAAUUGAAACUACAGGCUGUUCCAACUUGCGUGAAUUUCAACACCAUGUGUCUCAGUGGUGUGUACGGCCCCCACUAGCCUGUAUGCUCUCCCGACAACGUCUGGGCAUGCUCCUGAUGAGAUAGCAGAUGUUGUCCUGGACAUCGAAUGCACCGAUACAUAACAUCUCAGAGGUUCUGAAUUGGAUUCAGGUCUGGGGAAGGUGAGGGCCAGUCAAUGGCAGCAAUGCCUUCGUCAUCCAGGAACUGCCUACACUCUGGCCACAUUAGGCCAGAAAUUGUCCUGCACCAGAAGGAACCCAGGGCACACUGCACCAGUGUAGGGUCUGACUAUAGGUCUGAGGAUUUCAUCCCGCUAACCAGCAACAAUCAGGGUACCGUUGGCUAGCACAUGGAGAUCUGUGCGACCCUCCAAGGAUAUGCCUCCCCAGACCAUCACUGACCCACUGCCAAACUGGUCAUGCUAGAUGAUGUUGCAGGCAGCAUAACAUUCACACCUACAUGAAGUUGUCCCCUCACCCAACGCAAAACCUCUGCAAAAUAAAUUAAAUUGUUUGUGCUGGUUUGUGCCGUUUAAAUUUUUGUUUAUGCUGCUAUCAUUUUAAAGAUAUUAUAGAAUAUUUUGUAGGUCAAAUUCACUCAAAAUAGGCUCAAACAUUUGUGCUCCAUUUGUGCUGAUAAAGGUUUGUUUUUACGACUGCUUUCUUACCGAUAGUAACCGCUAUAGUGGAAAGAGUGGAAAGCCAGUGUGCUAUUUUGAGUGAAUCUGGUUCAUGUUGGGGGGCUGAGUGUCCUCAGAAUGACCUAUACAAUAUUAUUAAAUAUUAAAAAAAUGACAGCAGCACAAACGAAUGAGCCUAUUUUGACUCAGUUUGGAGCGUGUUGGGAGGCUGAGUGAUGUCAUCACCAAUGAUUAAAUGUCUCAUAUAUAAAAUACAGAAGCAGUACAAAUGAAAUGUUAAUGACACAAACCAGCACAAACGGAGUAGAAAUGAUUGAGCCUAUUUUGCCAAAGUUUUGCAUUGGGUGGGGGGCCAACUUCACGUUGGGGUGAAUGUUAUGCUUCCUGUAACAUCAUCUAGCAUGACCGGUUUGGCGGUGGGUCAGUGAUGGUCACGCAGGUAAAAUUCACCAUGGCGUCUCUAGACUCUUUUACGUCUGUCACAUGCUCAGUGUGAACCUACUCUCAUCUGUCACGAGAACGAGGCACCAAUGGCAGACAUGCCAAUUGUGGCAAACUCUGGCAAAUGCCAAUCAAGCUGCAUGGUGCUGAACUGUGACCACAGGUCCCACUAGAUGAUGUCGGGCUGUCAUGCAACCCUCAUGGAGUCUGUUUCUGACAGUUUGGUCAGAAACAUGCACACCAGUAGCCUGCAGGAGGUCAUUUUGUAGGGCUCUGGGAGUGCUCCUUCUGUUUCUCCUCGCACAAAGAACUGAAGGUCUGGCUGCUGGGUUGAUGCCCUGUCCAGCUCUCCUUGUGUAACAGCCGUCUCCUGGUAUCUCUUCCGUGUUCUUGAGACUGGACCGGGAGACAUAGCAACCCUUCUUGCUACAGCACCUAUGGAUGUGCCAUCCUGGAGGAGCUGGACUACCUGUGCAACCUGAAUGGUCUGCAGGUACACUGCAAAACAUAUGUGGCUUAUCAAGUGUAUGUAUUUUAUCUUCAGGUUAAAAAUCCCUAAAAUAAGGAAUAUUUUUCUUAACAAGCUAGAUUAUAUUGCUUGUUUUUAGAAUGUAUGCCUUGAAUAUCGUGUAAUUUGUCUUGUUCCAUUGGCAGAUUAUUUCAAGCAAAUAUCUUCUCAAAUUUAGUUAAAUUGUCAUUUAAGAUACUAGCAAAAUGCAAAACUAGAGAAGAAUCAGUCAGUCAGGAUAAGGAGAGAGCAAUUGUAUGUGGCCAUCACCCGCAAAACUCUUCCCUUUUUGGGGGUUUUCUUGUUGUUGCCUUUCCAGUGCACCUGUUGUCACUUUCAUUUGUAUCAAACAGGUGACAUUGUUUCACAAUAGCUUAUGCUUCCUGUUGUACUUUCGUUAAGAUUUAGAAAUAUUCAAGGAGGCUCUGGGUGUACGCAGACUAACUUAUACCAUGAAGUUUUAUUAACAACUUUCAGAUACGUUACAUCAGUGCUCACUCUUCAGCGGCAGCAUACACACUGAACCUUCUAGAGCAUAAACAUUGCUAACAAAUUCUAUAGCCAAUAAGAACAAACACUGCAAUAUUUCUGGAAUGUGAUUGGUUCUUAGCAGAACGUAAGAAUACUACAUCCCCCUUCUUUUGAAAUAAAACAAUGCAAGGAAAAUAUUGCAAAAACCCCAUUACAUGAAAUAAACAUAUAGCUUUCAAGAGUCACAUGCACAAACUAAAUCACAUGUAUUAUUAUAGCAAAGUACUGGUAUACUGUAGGUGUUCAUAUAUUAUUGGAUUGUCACAUGACAAAACACAAACUGCAUUGAACAUUUCUUUUUUCUAAGGGCAGCGAUCCGCCUACACCCUUGUACAAUCACAGAUCCAGAAUAACGCUGGGUUUAAUCUGGCGUCCGUACCUGGAUCCGCAAAUGACGGAUUUGGGCAGAUCAUCAGUGUGGUCAGGUGUGUGUGUAAUGUCACUGUGUGGUGCACUGUUGAUUGGUGUUUCCCAUAGCUCAGCACCAUCAUGACCUAAAGAGAUGUCAGAACUGCCCUGAGGUUCCUUUGUGUCCAGGAGGUGGCGUCUGUUUCGCCGAUAUUCCCGUCCAUCAGAGGAGCUGCUGAUUGGUGUUUGGUAGGGUUGACCGCAGACGGCGACUCAUCAACAGCUGAGCUGGGGACUUGAAACCAUCAACAGGGCUAUUGCGAUACUCCAGGAGACUGAGGAUCUGGCAAACGUCGCAAACUCACCCGAGCUGUACUGGGGGCCGUUGUCUGAGAUGACAGCCUCUGGAAUGCCAUGUCGGGCAAAAGCGGCUUUUAGUUUAUCUAUCACAGCAGUUGAGGUGGUGCUGCUGAGCUUGUCCAGCUCAAAAUAUCUGCUGUAGUAGUCUACUGUCACAAGAUAAUCCUCAUUGCUUCAGGCCAGAACAUGAUGUCACGGGCUCUCUGCUUGGUUUUCUCUAUGCCUAAGUGACUGGCAUGUACGCGUGACAGCAUGUCUGAACGAAGACUUGUGGGAACAACAACUUUUUCACCUUUGAAGAUGAUUCCAUGCAGGUAGGAAAGCUCAUCACGGUGGUUCCAGAAUUCUGACACACUCAUGGGACACUUCCUCUUUUCCUCAGGCCAUCCUCUUAGUAUCACUCCUUUCAGAGUCUGAAACUGUGGAUCUUUUCCCGUUUGAGCUCUGAUUUCCUCCAAUUUUGAGUCACUGACAGGAAGACUGCUGUACACUGUGUGCACUUGAAUGUCCAUACCUUCACUUAGGCUUGUCCUGGUCAGACAGCGACUUUCUGGACAAUGUGUCUGCAAUAGGGAUAUCCUUGCCAGGUCGAUGCACAAUGGUGAAGUUGUACUUUUGGAGCUGAAGGAUCCUCCUCUGUAGCCUUGGGGGAACUGAUGCCAGGGCUUUCCGCAUUAUUGACUCAAGGGGCUUGUGGUCACUUUCAACAAUGAUUUGACGCCCAUAGAUGUAUUGAUGGAAACGCUUGCAACCAAAUAGUAUGGCAAAAAGUUAUUUCUCAAUUUGAGCAUAAUUGAUUUCGCAUUCAGAAAGUGACUUUGAUGCAUACGCG
ensembl:lncRNA